rfam:Trichobilharzia regenti genome assembly, scaffold: TRE_scaffold0007926
GUACUCCUGAAGAGUCUCACACUAGGACGAAACAGCUGUCCAGUAG